rnacentral:rRNA from 1 species
GCUUAGUGGCGAACGGGUGAGUAACACGUAGGCAACCUGCCCAAAAGAGGGGGAUAACACUUGGAAACAGGUGCUAAUACCGCAUAACCAUGAACACCGCAUGAUGUUCAUGUAAAAGACGGCUUUUGCUGUCACUUUUGGAUGGGCCUGCGGCGUAUUAACUUGUUGGUGGGGUAACGGCCUACCAAGGUGAUGAUACGUAGCCGAACUGAGAGGUUGAUCGGCCACAUUGGGACUGAGACACGGCCCAAACUCCUACGGGAGGCAGCAGUAGGGAAUCUUCCACAAUGGACGAAAGUCUGAUGGAGCAACGCCGCGUGAAUGAAGAAGGCCUUCGGGCCGUAAAAUUCUGUUGUCAGAGAAGAACGUGCGUGAGAGUAACUGUUCACGUAUUGACGGUAUCUGACCAGAAAGCCACGGCUAACUACGUGCCAGCAGCCGCGGUAAUACGUAGGUGGCGAGCGUUGUCCGGAUUUAUUGGGCGUAAAGGGAACGCAGGCGGUCUUUUAAGUCUGAUGUGAAAGCCUUCGGCUUAACCGAAGUAGUGCAUUGGAAACUGGAAGACUUGAGUGCAGAAGAGGAGAGUGGAACUCCAUGUGUAGCGGUGAAAUGCGUAGAUAUAUGGAAGAACACCAGUGGCGAAAGCGGCUCUCUGGUCUGUAACUGACGCUGAGGUUCGAAAGCGUGGGUAGCAAACAGGAUUAGAUACCCUGGUAGUCCACGCCGUAAACGAUGAGUGCUAAGUGUUGGAGGGUUUCCGCCCUUCAGUGCUGCAGCUAACGCAUUAAGCACUCCGCCUGGGGAGUACGGUCGCAAGACUGAAACUCAAAGGAAUUGACGGGGGCCCGCACAAGCGGUGGAGCAUGUGGUUUAAUUCGAAGCAACGCGAAGAACCUUACCAGGUCUUGACAUCUUCUGACAAUUCCAGAGAUGGAACGUUCCCUUCGGGGACAGAAUGACAGGUGGUGCAUGGUUGUCGUCAGCUCGUGUCGUGAGAUGUUGGGUUAAGUCCCGCAACGAGCGCAACCCUUAUUGUCAGUUGCCAUCAUUAAGUUGGGCACUCUGGCGAGACUGCCGGUGACAAACCGGAGGAAGGUGGGGAUGACGUCAAAUCAUCAUGCCCCUUAUGACCUGGGCUACACACGUGCUACAAUGGACGGUACAACGAGUCGCUAACUCGCGAGGGCAAGCUAAUCUCUUAAAGCCGUUCUCAGUUCGGAUUGCAGGCUGCAACUCGCCUGCAUGAAGUCGGAAUCGCUAGUAAUCGCGAAUCAGCAUGUCGCGGUGAAUACGUUCCCGGGCCUUGUACACACCGCCCGUCACACCAUGAGAGUUUGUAACACCCAAAGUCGGUGGGGUAACCUUUUGGAGCCAGCCGCCUAAGGUGGGACAGAUGAUUGGGGUGAAGUCGAAACAAGGUA